UGACCUAUGACGCAAUUGGCAGCACGACGGUUUCUGGUUCCGUUAGUCUUGGUUCGAGUCCAGGUAGUUCAG
rnacentral:tRNA from 1 species